GGUUAAGCUGUUAAAAGCAUACACUGCUCUUGUAGAGGGCUGGGAUUCACUUCUCUUCUUAGUGCGCACAUCGACAGGUUCACAACCACUUGGGAUGGGACUCAGGUUUGGCCCUGGGCACCUCUGGGCUCCAUGGGCACCUGUAUUCACAGGCAAAUACGCAUUUAUAUAAUUGUUUUUAAGUUCACCUUCCACAGCAAGUGAUCCCCUCAUCCUGUGACCUCUAAGUUGUUGGUUAAUGUUCUAUUGGCUCUGAGGAGAAACUUCCAAUUUCCUGGAAAAAAAAUUUUUUUUUCUUCAGGGUUCAACUUUCUUCAGAAAGGAUAAUUCCAGAUUCCAGGAAAGAGCAAGCCUUAGUAGUUGUUUCAAGGCAGGAGCAGAGCGGUUCGCAUUCUGUGAAUUGAAAUAGAAAGUAAUGUUGAGGUCAUGGCCAGCUUCCCUGGUUUGGGGAAACUACUGGUUUGCUAACUAGGCAGUUGUUAGGUCUGAGUCCGUUACUCUGCAAGGUCAGUUCUUCCUCCAAAACAGGAGUGUUGAAACUAUGCCAUGGUCCAGAGGUCCUCUGCUCUGCAAAUCCAGAUCUCUUGGCUUCUCCACUUGGGACUCGAGGCUCUGCUUUCUCAGCCUCCGGAGACUGCCGAUUCAGCUUGAGGCUGCGUCAGCUAUCAUGGACAGAAUAGACUUCUGACCUUGGAAGAGCCAACUGUGUAGGUCAAAGCCAUUUCUUCCAAGAUGAGGUAAAUAUGUCUCGUUACCCUGUGGGAAGAAAAAGAGAAAACAAGUCUCUUGGCUCUGGACCCUCUGCACGGCUUGCUGUGGUCUCUCCUCAGCCAUGUGCUAGCUUUGGGUGUGGGGAACAGAAUUUCCUUGUUUGCAGCCUCCACACUGCAGGGUACCCUCAAAGGAAAACCGAAGCCGAGAACCAUGAAUGCAGAUGUAGAGAAACACAAACACGAGAUCCCACGCAGCUAUGAAAACAGGACAUGAUCCACACACAGUGUUUGGCAUCUCUGUGCUUUGCUUGUCUUUAUUAUGGUCAUUAAAAUGUAUCCAUGAGCUCAGGCAAGUGACCAGAGGAAAUGAUCGUGCUACAACUUUGCUGGCUCUCUGAAAACCUUUAAAACGCAGAGAGAAUUAUGUAGGUAGACACGCCAAUUUCAGAGAGGUACGGGCAUGUAGAUGUUAUGAAAGACACCUCAUUAUAAUACAAGUAAUAAGGAAUAAUAGAAGCACAUUGCUUCAGAGAAGCAAAAUACUUCUUUUAAUUAAGGCCAAGACCUCUCCACUUUAAGUUGUGAAAGAAUCACUUUGGGGGUUGGGGAGAUGAUUUAACUGCUAAGGUGCUGACUGCUUGAGCGUGAGGGGCUGAGUUCAGAUUCCCAGCAUCCAUGUAAAGAUCUGAGUGCAAUAGUGCGUGCCUCUAGUCCCUGCUCUGGGCAGUGUGGAGAAAGAAGGAACCCUGGGGCCUGAUGGCUUUCAGCCUAGCCUAGUUCUUGAGCUCUAGAAUCAGGGAAGAACCCUGUUGAGACAGAGAGAGAGAGAGAGAGAGAGAGAGAGAGAGAGAGAGAGAGAGAGAGAGCACGCUAUUGAGAAAGAUAUCCUAUGUUUACUUUUGGCAUCUGCAUGCACAUACACACAUAUGU
rnacentral:sRNA from 1 species